UACGUAGGGUGCGAGCGUUGUUCGGAUUCAUUGGGCGUAAAGGGUGCGUAGGCGGCGCGGUAAGUCGGGUGUGAAAUCUCGGAGCUUAACUCCGAAACUGCAUUCGAUACUGCCGUGCUUGAGGACUGGAGAGGAGACUGGAAUUCAUGGUGUAGCAGUGAAAUGCGUAGAGAUCAUGAGGAAGACCAGUGGCGAAGGCGGGUCUCUGGACAGUUCCUGACACUGAGGCACGAAGGCCAGGGGAGCAAACGGG
rnacentral:rRNA from 1 species